rnacentral:rRNA from 1 species
GUGCCAGAUACACGCUGGCAAAUCUAAAUAUGUCCCAAGACCGAUAGUGAAAUAGUAGCGUGAGCAAAAGAUGAAAAGAAACCCGGAAGGGUCGUGAAAAGCGCUUGAAACCAAAUAGUUUAGUAAGGAUGCAGCCCGAAAGGAUAGAUUCUGCGCGAAUGGGUUCUGGUGACAGAACAUCAGAGUGCAGAGGACUAGGGUUGCAUCAUCAGUCUGGAAUCAUUGGCCAGGGAGUUUAUAGUAGUGGCGAGCUUAAGUGCCUUACGGCACGUAGGCGAAGGGAAACCAAUAUUCUUGCAACCUAAUUAUCACAUUAGAAUGAACCACGUACCUCGGAGUAGUUUUGCUAUUCCAAAGGGAUGUUCUGAUUUCUUCUAAGGAAUUAGGCCAGAAGAAUGGUCUCAAAGGGCCUAGAGUCACUGUUAUAAAACCCGAAGCCGGUCGAUCUAUUCCUGGUCAAGAUGAAGUCGCUCGAAAGGGUGAUGGAGGUCUGCACCAGUGCUGACGUGCAAUUCGCUUGGAUGAACUGGGAAUAGGAGCAAAAGGCUAAUCUAGAUCGGUGAUAGCUGGUUCUCCCCGAAGUUGGUGUCAGCCAAUCCUCAGGCGAGGUCGCUAGUGGCGUAGAGCACUAAUUGCGAAACACGGAGAAGAAAUUCUUCACUUCGCUCUUAAACUCCGAAACUGCUAGCACCGUAGACCCUGGGAGACGGGUUAGUGGGCGUAAAGUCCAUUGCCGAGAAGGGAACAACCUAGACUUGGGUUAAGGUCCCUAAAUGCAGGUUAAGUGUUAAACGAAAGGGCGUUAUAUUUCUAAAACAGCAAAAGGAUAGGUAUAGAAGUAACCACUCCCUAACGAGUGUGUAACAACUCAUUUGCCGAGAAAUAUAGCCCCGAAAAUGGACGGGGCUUAAAUCUGCUACCGAGACCCAAGAGCACGGGCGGAAGAACCCCGUGAUCUGGUAGGGGAGCGUCCAGGUUGGGCAGAAGCAGGUGCGUGAGUUCCUGUGGACCGACCUGGACCGCAGAUCCUGGUAAUAGUAAAAGCAUAGAUGGGUUAGAAUCCCAUCCGCCGAAAGGGCAAGGGUUUCUUCGCAAUGCGUCGUCAGCGAAGAGUUAGUCGAUCCUAAGCGCAAUCUUAACUGAACUGCGCGAAAGGGAAACAGGUUUAUAUUCCUGUACCACGGCGCUACAAAUAGCGGUAACGCAUGACUGUAUGCUAACAAAUCCGGGUAAGUGGAAUAGGGUCGUCGUACAUCUCCCUAUUUAAAUGUACUAAAGCUGGUAAAUAGUGUAAAACUUAGACCCAGCUCAAAGCAUGAAUAGCCAUCCAAUUGUGGAAGGUUCCGCUGAGCCCAGGUUUUAAUAAAAAGGCAUCAGUAAGAAACGCCGUGAUCGUACCCAGAACCGACACUGGUUUCGACAGCACCGUCGAGAACGUCGACAGGUGCCCCUAGGUGAGUAGCCUAAGGCGUAUUCGUGUAAAGGAGGCUAGGGAAAUCGACAAAUUAGAGCCGUAACUUUGGGAUAAGGUUUGCUUGGAAACUUCCUCACGCAGCUUCGGCAGUGUGCGGGGGCCUCCAAGUCGCAGUAACUAAGGGGGGACGACUGUUUAAUAAAAACAUAGGUCACUGAUAGAGCGAAAGCUUGUUUACAGUGGCUGAAACCUGGCCAGUGGCAGUUUGAUCAAUCCGGGUUACAACCCGAGUAAGUCCUGCUAAACGCCGGGAGUAACUAUAACUCUCUUAAGGUAGCCAAAUGCCUUGUCUGGUAAGUUCAGACGUGCAUGAAUGGUCCAACGUUCUCCCCAUUGUCCCAGCCUUCUGACGAUUGAAAUUACACUCCGGCGAACGGUCCGGAGAUACCUGGUGGGACGAGAAGACCCCGUGGAGUUUUACUGCAGCCUGUCGCUGUGGUUUUGAGCUGGAUACAGAGUGUAGUCGGGAGCGUAGAUGCCGUUAUUUAGGUAACGGCGGAGCAACUUUGGAAUACCGGCUUUCCUUCUUGAAAUCACUAACGGUGCACCCGCAUCGGACACCCGCAGGUGGGCAGUUUGGCUGGGGCGGCUCACUCUAGAAAAAAUAUCUAGAGUAACCAAAGGUCAGCUCAGGCGGGUCAGGAAUCCGCUGAAGAGUUUAAGAGCAAAAGCUGGCCUGACUGGAUUCUGAUUACCAAGGAAUCCUGAGGCUAACGCCUGGUCUAGCGAUCCUUAACUAUGCUCGUGUGGCUGGUUGAGGUGAUAGAAAAAUUACCCCGGGGGUAACAGAGUUGUCACGAGUAAGAGUUCCUAUCGACCUCGUGGCUUGCUUCCUCGAUGUCGGCUCUUCCUAUCCUGGGAGCGCACAUAAUGCGAAUCAAGUCGAUUUGCGUGCGCAUAACUCCCAAGGGUGGGGCUGUACGCCCAUUAAAAGGGAACGUGAGCUGGGUUUAGACCGACGUGAGUCAGGUCGGAUUCUAUCUACCAGGUAUGUGGGAUGACUGAGGGUAAGGGAAAAUCAGUACGAGAGGAACAUUUUGCCGGCGCCUCUGGUGUACCGGUUGUCUGACAAGGCAUCGCCGGGCAGCUACGCGCUAACUGAUAAGUGCUGAAAGCAUCUAAGCACGAAGCAGGCCCCGAAAAUAGUCAUCCAAUCUUACUUCAUAUUGUUUAAGUAAUGUGGUGUGUAUUUAGCUUAGCUGGGUUGAUAAGAUCCCCCUGUGAGGAUCAGAUGUCAAUUCGAAGUGCGUGUAAAAGCGUAUGAAAAUGUUAUAGGUUAAAU